rnacentral:rRNA from 1 species
UACGGGGGGGGCAAGCGUUGUUCGGAAUUACUGGGCGUAAAGGGCUCGUAGGCGGCCAACUAAGUCAGACGUGAAAUCCCUCGGCUUAACCGGGGAACUGCGUCUGAUACUGGAUGGCUUGAAUCCGGGAGAGGGAUGCGGAAUUCCAGGUGUAGCGGUGAAAUGCGUAGAUAUCAGGAGGAACACCGGUGGUGUAGACGGCUCACUGGACCAUAACUGACGCUGAGACACGAAAGCGUGGGUAGCAAACAGG